CACCGCGGUUAUACGAGAGGCCCAAGUUGAUAAGCAUCGGCGUAAAGAGUGGUUAAGACGAACCAGAAACUAAAGCCGAACACCCUCGCAGCUGUUAUACGCAAAUACGAAGGUCAGAAGCCCAACUACGAAAGUGGCUUUAUAUCAUCUGAACCCACGAAAGCUAAGGCA
rnacentral:rRNA from 1 species